UGUUGGGUUCGACCAAGAACAGGGGGAAACAAGGGAAACCCUUGUUUAUGCAAAAUUCAUUCAAUUGACAAGGAGAUCCAAGGCUAAUCAGUUGCAUGACUUCAAUUUUUCGAUCAUCUUAACAUACUCAGUAAAGUGGCGUGAAGGAAGAAGGUACAAGCACUAGGAAAACGGGAAGCACGCAAGAUCGAGUAUGUAAAUAACAAAUCCCAUGUGGAUUUGGGUAAAACUCCACUUAGGCGAUUUGGAGAUACGGAGCGAGCACGUGUCCAUGCUUUAUUAUACCAAGCGCUUCCGCUAGUUAUAUGCACACUUUUUGGGUCCAUGUCUUGUUAUUUUGUUUAAUCUUGUUAGAAGUCAUACACUUAAAAACUUGUUGUCUUCGUUUUGGGAAGUUUAAAGUUAAAUGGGUCGUAGAUUUUCGUUAGUUUAAUAUAUUAAAAACAGGUGGCAUGCUCGUUUUACGAACGGGUCAUGCCCAAUUUUUGUAAGAAUUUCGUUAUGUAUUAAAUUUGGUAUGUUGAUGUC
rnacentral:lncRNA from 1 species